CGCAUGUACCCGCUUGUACAGCAUGUACCGCAUGUACCCGCUUGUACAGCAUGUACCGCAUGUACCCGCUUGUACAGCAUGUACCGCUUGUACAGCAUGUACCCGCUUGUACCCGCUUGUAAACAGCAUAACAACAACCUGAAGGAUUUUUGGACAGCUAUGUUUAUGUGAUCCAAUGGAAAGUGAGAUCAAAGUGCUAUGAGUGCAUGCUUCUUAUAAAACAUACAGUUCACUGAAUGUUUUUGUAA